rnacentral:rRNA from 1 species
UACAGAGGUCCCAAGCGUUGUUCGGAUUCACUGGGCGUAAAGGGUGCGUAGGUGGUGAGGUAAGUCGGAUGUGAAAGCUCGGAGCUCAACUCCGAAAUGGCAUUGGAAACUACCUUGCUCGAGGGAUGGAGGGGGGACUGGAAUUUACGGUGUAGCAGUGAAAUGCGUAGAUAUCGUAAGGAAGACCAGUGGCGAAGGCGGGUCUCUAGACAGUUCCUGACGCUGAAGUACGAAGGCCAGGGGAGCAAACGGG